GCCAAAGUUAUUAAGAGCCAGUGUUAAAGUUCUGAAGAGCCACCGCUGGCUCAGGUUACAGGCGACUGUUCUAGUUUAAGGUUUUGUGUUAAAGUUUUGCAGGUUAAGGUUUAAUGUGGAGUAAAGGCAGCUGAAUGAUAUUUAGCAUUGCUGGAAUGAAAGACAAUGAACUGAUUACAUAGCUGGUCAGUAUAACCUGCCAGCAGUGUGGAAACAAUCCAACCGGCAAUCAAAUUCCACGAAGUCCAUUUCAGGCUCCCUGUGGAGUCCGGUGCACAGGGUGACACUGGUGUUUACCCUUUCCUUCACCUCCUCUGAAAUCACAUAAGUUGCCUUUUGGGGUCCUGUACUGAGAGUUUACUCUGCAUCUUACCGCAGGUUUGAGUUUCCUGAAACACCUCUUCCUGAUGGGGUACAGGACGCAUCGUGCUUACGUAAAUUAGCAGGGGGAGAAGGCACAGCGAGCCAAAGGUUUUAAAGGGAGCUACAGUCCCAACAAGAAGAGACAAAGGACUCUUUCACUCUGCAAAGUAGUGAAUGUUGUGUUUGGACUGCCCCCUCUCCUGGAACAUCUCAGGUCUCCACUAAGUGUGGAGCCCAUCUCCCCCCGUCAUGCUCCCCUCUGUUAGUGGUCCUCAGAUCAUAAAAAACAACAUCAUCAGCUACCAUAACUAUGCAGACGAC